rnacentral:tRNA from 1 species
UUCCGAAUUAGCUCAGUUGGUAGAGCACACGACUGUUAAUCGUGCUGUCGUCGGUUCGAGCCCGACAUUCGGAGUCC